UACGUAGGGGGCGAGCGUUGUCCGGAUUUAUUGGGCGUAAAGAGCUCGUAGGCGGUUUGGUAAGUCGGAUGUGAAAUCUCCAGGCUCAACCUGGAGGGUCAUUCGAGACUGCUAUGACUAGAGUUCGGUAGAGGAGUGUGGAAUUCCUGGUGGAGCGGUGAAAUGCGCAGAUAUCAGGAGGAACACCCGUAGCGAAGGCGGCACUCUGGGCCGAUACUGACGCUGAGGAGCGAAAGCGUGGGGAGCGAACAGG
rnacentral:rRNA from 1 species